GGAAUAUUGCACAAUGGGGGAAACCCUGAUGCAGCGACGCCGCGUGAGCGAUGAAGUAUUUCGGUAUGUAAAGCUCUAUCAGCAGGGAAGAAAAUGACGGUACCUGACUAAGAAGCUACGGCUAAAUACGUGCCAGCAGCCGCGGUAAUACGUAUGGAGCAAGCGUUAUCCGGAUUUACUGGGUGUAAAGGGAGCGCAGGCGGUACGGCAAGUCCGAUGUGAAAACCCGGGGCUCAACCCCGGGACUGCAUUGGAAACUGCCGCACUAGAGUGCCGGAGAGGUAAGUGGAAUUCCUAGUGUAGCGGUGAAAUGCGUAGAUAUUAGGAGGAACACCAGUGGCGAAGGCGGCUUACUGGACGGCAACUGACGCUGAGGCUCGAAAGCGUGGGGAGCAAACA
rnacentral:rRNA from 1 species